CACCGACUGCUUGCUACGACUGGCUGCGAUUGCUGGUCGCUUACUGGUACCGUGGAGAGCGCGAUCGGAAGCUAUCAUCUGGCUGUCAGCCGAUGGUAAACAGUCCACCGGCAUACAUCGCGGUGUGUAGACGUUGCAUACGUGGUACAACGUAUAUGUGCAUAUGUGCAUGUUCGCCUACAUGUGAUUGAGUGAAUAGAAAGAGAAAGCAAAAGAGAGAGCGAGACAAAGACGGAUAGGAGUACGAUCCCAUUGAAUACACACAUUCUCCUCUCGUCCGCGUGUGCUUCUUUAUUUACUCGUGAAGCGACAUGAGGACCACCAUCUAACGUUGCAGCCGAAAGUGCAUCCUCCAUUCUGCUCAUCGUCGUGGUGGCGGAUCUCUUCAGUCACCAAUGCAGUCGUCGAUGGAGCUUUGGGAAAACAUGCACAAACCGUGGAUGCAGCCGGGAGCCGGCAGUGGCGGGGCCCACACGGGCGGGACAGGUGACGAUGAGGCCCCGAAGGAUCCGGGGGCGCGGAUCAUCCAUCAUUACACGGAAAAGGAUUAUGAAGGUCACAGGGCGCACACGUUUUAUGUGGGCGUGCAUCUGCCGGGGGAGAGGAGACAUCGUCGACACCAUAAGCACCAUCAUUCACAACGACAGUCGUACCCCUGCGGUAAAGAGGAUGCCGACAACGAGAGACCAAUCACUCCACCAGCCCAGAGAGUGCAGUUUAUCCUCGGCGAGGAAGUCGGCGAUGAUGCGCACGAAUCGCAUCCGCUCUUCGCGGAGAUGGAGGAGCUAGUCAAGGAUGGCGAUGAGAUGCAAUGGAAGGAGACGGCGAGAUGGAUCAAGUUCGAGGAAGAUGUCGAGGAAGGUGGCAAUAGGUGGAGCAAACCUCACGUUGCCACAUUAUCACUACAUUCACUGUUCGAGUUGAGGAGUUUGCUUUUAAAUGGAACCGUCAUGCUCGAUAUGGAAGCAGCCAGUUUGGAGCAGAUAGCUGAUCUCGUUCUUGAUAACAUGAUUAAUAAAGGAGUACUGUCGGUUGAAUUGCGAGAAAAGGUGAAAGAAGCCCUCCUCGUGAAACAUCGGCAUCAGCACGAGAGACGUAAAGACAAUAACAUGUCGAAGUUACCGAUCAUAAGAUCGUUAGCUGAGAUAGGACGCAAUCAUUCCUCUUCAAAAAAUUGCGACUGUUCAUGUGGUAUGCAUGCCUUGUUGACGUCAGAUUUGCAGGAGCGUCGUGAUCCUAAGGAUGCCUAUGUACCCUCCGUCGCCCGCAGUAGCAGCUGCCCAAACUCGAACACGGCGCCGCUGUCGAAAGAGGCAAAAGACCUCAAAGGGCCGUACCUUCUGGUUCCAGGUCAAGAACCAGGCAGCAACGGUAUGGACCGGAGUCCCAGCAGCGUGUCCAUCAGCAGGAAUCACAGCUCGUCCGCAUUGGAGAACGGAGAUGCUAAUCACAAGGGUAAUACGCACUUUAUGAGAAAGAUACCACCCGGCGCCGAAGCGAGCAACAUACUUGUGGGUGAGGUCGAUUUCCUCGACAAGACUUUGUCCGCAUUCAUCCGAUUAAGCCAGGCCGGGAUAAUGGGUGACCUGACAGAAGUUCCUGUUCCGACAAGAUUCAUCUUCAUUCUCCUGGGACCCAUGAGUGGGAAUUCGAGUUUCCACGAGAUCGGUCGGGCUAUGGCGACCUUGAUGUCCGACGAAAUCUUCCACGACGUGGCAUACAAAGCAAAAAACAGAAAUCAUCUCUUAGCUGGUAUCGACGAGUUCCUGGAUGCCGUGACGGUAUUACCGCCCGGUGAAUGGGAUCCGGCAAUCCGAAUAGAACCGCCGGCCGCUAUACCAUCGCAGGAAGUCAGGAAGAGACCCAAGGAGGAAAAGCCUAAGGAAGACUUCGACGAGGAGGCUGACGAACAGAAGCUGAGGGAGGAGUCCGGUCUUGCGAGGACCGGAAGAUUAUUCGGCGGAUUGAUUAAUGAUGUUAAGAGGAAAGCUCCGUUUUAUUUAUCUGAUUUCAAAGACGCCCUGGCGCUUCAAUGCGUGGCCUCCUUCAUCUUCCUGUACUUCGCCUGCUUGUCGCCCAUAAUUACCUUCGGUGGACUCCUCGGCGAGGCUACCGGGAAAAAUAUGGCUGCGAUGGAAUCGCUAGUUUCCGGUUUUGUUUGUGGCAUAGGAUAUGGAUUCUUCUCCGGCCAACCGUUAACUAUACUCGGUUCUACCGGUCCGGUUUUGGUUUUCGAGACAAUCGUUUACGAAUUCUGCAAAAAGGUCGACUGGAAUUACAUGUCCUUUCGUUUCUGGAUCGGCACAUGGACCGCCAUAAUUCUAAUCAUUCUCGUGGCUCUUGACGCGAGUGCUUUCGUCUGUUACAUCACUCGUUUUACAGAGGAGAAUUUUGCCACUCUCAUCGCCUUCAUUUUUAUCUACAAGGCUAUCGAGAAUGUAUUGUCAAUCGGCAAGAAAUAUCCCUUGAACACUUAUUCGAGUGAAACGUUGGACUACGAUUGUUGGUGCAAAUCGCCAAACAUCAGUCUACCAUCCAGUUAUAACAACAUAAAUUGGACGACAUUGGAUAAGGCAGCUUGCGAGAAUUAUAAUGGUACCAUGGUUGGCGAUGGCUGCGAUGCACCGCAUUAUGUACCCGAUGUGUUCCUCAUGUCAAUUAUUCUAUUCAUGGGCACAUUCUUAUUAUCAGUGGAGCUCAAGGAUUUCAAGAACGCUUUAUUCUUUCCCUCGAAGGUAAGACAAGUGGUGAGCGACUUCGCAGUAUUAAUCGCGAUAUUCUCUAUGAGCACAUUGGAUCAUUUCGUGGGCAUUCCAACGCCGAAACUGGAGGUACCGGCAGAGUUUAAACCAACGUUAGAGGGAAGAGGAUGGAUCAUAUCGCCUUUUCAUCACAAUCCGUUCUGGAGUGCUAUCGUUGCAUGCCUCCCCGCUUUGUUGGGCACUAUAUUGAUCUUCAUGGAUCAGCAAAUCACGGCUGUUAUUGUCAAUAGAAAAGAGAACAAGUUAAAGAAAGGAUGCGGAUAUCAUCUGGAUCUCUUUAUCCUGGCGAUUCUAAUCGAGAUAUGCUCGGUGAUGGGACUUCCAUGGUUCGUCGCAGCGACGGUCCUCUCCAUAAAUCACGUGAAUUCCUUGAAGUUGGAAUCCGAGUGCGCUGCGCCGGGUGAGAAGCCGCAGUUUUUAGGCGUCCGCGAGCAGAGGGCCACUCAUAUAUUAAUUUUCUUGAUGAUCGGAUGCUCGGUGUUCCUAACACCAAUGUUGAGGAACAUACCGAUGCCGGUGUUGUUUGGUGUCUUCCUGUACAUGGGCGUCGCGUCGCUAAAGGGUCUGCAAUUCUUCGAUAGAAUUCUGAUUAUGCUGAUGCCCGUCAAGUAUCAACCAGACUACAUGUUCCUUCGGCAGGUGCCAUUGAAGCGCGUACAUAUGUUCACUGUGAUUCAGCUUGCCUGCCUCGCCUGCUUGUGGAUUAUAAAAUCUUUCAGUUCCACUUCUAUUCUAUUUCCCUUAAUGCUCGUGGUAAUGAUCGGUAUACGUAAAUCCCUGGACCUGAUAUUUACGCAGCGCGAGUUGAAGAUCCUCGAUGAUGUAAUGCCGGAACCGAGCAAGAAACACGCCGACGAGCUUCGCAAACUGGAGAACGGCGAGGAUCCGACCGAGACGAUGGGAUAUGGACCGGGAAAUAUUCAAAUUUCUUUGGCUAAUGGAAACAUCAUGAAGAUUCCUCUGGCAAGUAUCAAUAUCAGCGAGGAGGUGAAUAAGACCGGUAUUUGGCAACAAGUCAAUGAAGGCAACGAAAAGUCAAAGCAAUCGAAAUCAUUAAUCAAUAUGGGAAAACAAAAGAAGCACCCGAAGAAGGACAACACGCUGUUAGCCGACGAGACAACGAGACUGACGACGAUGACCGAAGAGGACGAAGAUGACAGUGGAAUCUCGAUCAAGGUGACAAACGUAAAUGACUCUAAAUUCUAACUACCAUCACCAUCACCAAAAACCGACAAUUCAUAUGGCAAGACACACAGCAAGAGCACCAACACAUCGGCAUGCAACAUAUCCUAUGCACCGCCGCUGUAGAUUUAAUACGAUCCAAGGAAAGCAUCAAUUCUUUAAAAGCAAAUGGUACUACCUCAGCCGAAACUUCCGUUUAAUAAGAAGACAACAGAAAUGAACAUAUGUUAAUGCAGCAUAUAAUUUUCUUUAAUUUCGAUACUGUUUCUCUUUCUAUAAUCUCCAUUUUGAUCUCAUAAAUCGCUGAUUGAACUGAUGAUUAUCAUCUAAUUUCCUAAAUACGAUAUCUAUAAAAAACAUAAAUACCUAUCAUUUAUUACCCUCUUAAUUGUAUUAUAUUUGUAUUAUAUUAGCGAACAAUGCGUACGUGUCGAUUUUCGUCGAUUUAUAUUCCACUGUAAAUGCGAUUUUCACCAUACACAUUUUUUUCUCAAUGUACAUAGAAACAAUUCAACAAGAUUCGCCAAUAGUAUUUAAUUGUGAUUUUAUGAAACCUUUUUCUCUCGUCCUCUCAAUAAUAGUACGGAUUGCUACAAUUCCGUUUGAUUCAUAUAAAAACAACUACAAAAGUACGUGGGAGCAGAAGAAACAAUGUAUAUCUACAUUCUAAUAAUUAUUCAAUAAAUAAUUCUUCUUUGUUAAUUUUACAUGUAAACUGUACGAGAAGCAAUCUAUGGAAAAGAAUGAUUCUAAAAUUAGAAAAAAUACUUCGAAGUAAUAAAGGCGUAUGAUAAAACAUGUUUCUAUGUUUAGUGACGACAGGUAAAAUUUAAUAAACUUCUAUAUUAUUAUAUAUCUCUUCUUUAAAUAAUACACAGGAUCCGAACUGAUUAAGAUUUAUAUAAUUUAUAAAGCUCAAUAGCAAUAUAUCUAUGCUAAAAAUUCAUGGAGGAACGCACAUUUUUCUAAAUUGCAACAACCAAACUGAACAAACAUGUACAUGGCAUUUAUAAAAAAUAAGUAAAGAAAAUUACACAGUAAAGUACGAAUUUUCAAUCAUGGCCAGUGAAGAAUUAUUCAAGUUUUAAUCUAUUCAAAUAUUUAAAUAAUUAAUAUCGAUCGUUCUUAUAGACUGACGAUGUAUGAAACAAAUUAUAAUAAAUAAAUAAAUAAAUAAAAGUAAUGAAAAAGUAUCGUGCAGAUUAUAUCAUGUGUCAUGAUUCGAGGAUGAUCCGAACAUGCACAAUUCCAAUUAUUCGAAUAUUUGAGCAUUGACAGCUAUAGUUUUAAGUUCAUUCUAACAACAUCUGAUUAUACGAUGUGAAUCAUAAAAAAACAUGUAUGAGAAUAUCGUAUUGCCGUGCAAUAACAUAUUUCUGCGUGUAGAUAUUAAAUAAUUAAAGUAACAUUACAAUCAUAUUAUGCCAAAAAAACCCCACAAUAUAUACGUAAAUCAAUAUAUUAUACGUAUAUGCUUCCUUUGAAAGAUAUCUGACAAGUUGUUGCUGAAAAGUGUUGGAAUACGAUAUGUGCUUAAAAAAAGAAAAUCUGGCAAAAAUCACUUGUUAAGAAAACACUCCAAUUAAAUAUUAUUCAUUAUCUAAUAAUACAAUAAUGUCGCAAUGCGAGCAAUAAUUAUUGAAAUUAUUUUGUGAAUUAAGAGCAAAAGAAAGAAAUAGUCAUGUUUACAAAUAAACAAUAUUCUUUCCUCCCAAAUCAAUAUAAUGAUAUAUGUGACUUUUUUGUAUGUUUCGAAAUACCAACAUUGUGUAGUUUUUGAACACGGAACUCUUUCCGCGUAUAGUCGCUCAUAACCGAAAUUAGCUUAUAAUGGAUAUUUAUUUUUUGUUGACAUUUUAGAUAAAAAUUUUAUUUUAGACUAAAAAUAAAUAACAUAUCUUUGUUAUUUUCUAAAAGUCUAAUUAAAAUCUUACGCGAGCUGAAUUUUGAAAUUCUAUUUUCAUAACUUUUUUAAUUUCUGGACACCUCCAACUAGCCAUCAGCGACAAUAUAUACAUUUAAAUUAAAUUAAAUUAAAUUUUAAUUAUCGUAAAAUUAAUUUCUUUGUAGCAACAAAAGUUUUCCGUACUAGAUGCAAUAUAUGUGAUGUUUUAUAGAGUAAGACAGUAAUAGAAAGCAAUCUCUUGAAGGAUAAUGUUCGUGAUAAAGGAAAAAAAUACAAUCGUCAAUCCGUAUAGUCUGUGGCAUAUAAUAAUUAAUUAUGUGAUGAUUCUUACAACUUUACUGAGUGAUAAUGGAUAUAUGCUAUCAGAUAUGUAAAUAGUUGUUUGUCGAUUAUUUAAAUUAAUUAAAUAGAAAAAGAAAUUGUUAGUACACUAUACUCUUGAAAACAAUAUAAUUUUUCAAUUUUGAUUAAAUUACGUAGCAUAAAAUAUUUCAUUAAAAUACAAUUUAUUAUAGAAACAAAUUUAUAUAAAAAAAAAAUAAUUGAGAUAAUUUCAGAACUUUUUGUAUCAAACCGACAGAAUAAUUACAUAAAAAGAAACGUGUGUAACUUGUACGAAUUAGAAUAUAUUAAACAAAAGAAUCUUUUCUGCAAUCUGUAAGAAAUCUGUCAAUGAUUAAGAAUCUUAAAAAAAUUAAUUUUACAAAAUUGAACUUUAAGCCGAAACAUGUUUAUAUAUCUUUUAUACAAACAUUUUGCUAUAAUGAGUAGUUUGAGAAAAUCAGAUUUCAAUAUGGAGCCAAUGCGAAAUUUACACAAUAUAUUCAAAACGCGUAGGAAUGCGCUCAAGAAAAGAUCUAUUGUGUUAAAAAACAAUAUGAAACAUUUAUAUCGUGCUGGAAAGUAAAUAAGCGUGUAUGCGUACUUUUAGUAUAUUUGUAGAGAAAAAAAAAUGUGUUCGCUCAUGUGUAAAGUAUUUAAAUCAUUUGAAAGUCAAGUGCAAACACACGUUUGCUAAAUAUUAACAACCCUUCUCGGUUAUUACAAUAUUAAUGUUAUGGCGUGACACUUGGAAUGCGUAAUAUCGUACCGUAAACUGAACGAAUAAAAAUGUCUAGAAAGCGUGCCAUAAUCUUAGCAAUACGAGUAUAUAAAUGUGCAAAUAUUAAAUCUAUAUGAAUAUGUAAUAUGUAAAAAAAAAAUGUAAAAAAUGAUCUAAUAUGGAAAGAUGUAUGUAUAAUAAGUGUAUGUAUAGUGCAUUCCACAUAUCACGCAACAGUGUUCUUCGAUACGUUGAAGUAAGAGAAGAACUCUUUCACACAUUCGAAAAGUAUAGUUUCACGCAUAAAUUUUGCAGCGAAUUUACGAUGAUGAAUGGGCUAUAAUUCGCCGACGUAGUAUUAAUUGGUUGUGAUUAAGAAAGACGGAAAUCGUCUUGGAAACUAGUUUCCUAGUCGACAAGAAAAGUAGCUAAAAUGUCGUAUAAUUAUAAACCAUAUGCUGUGUUAUUUGAAAAUUUAAUGUGCAAUUAUUAAAUGUACAAAAAUUGAAAAAUUUGCUAUACCGUUUUCUGUUAUACAAAAUGACAUUCGUAAACGUGGGCCUACGCUACAGUCGGAUAGGAUCGCAUUGAGAGAUGAACUUCGUGAGAUACUCGUAGUUAAUUAAUAGCUUUUAAUUACCAUCGUUAGUGACGAUCAUGUUUGACGAUAACGCUCGUGUAAAAAAUUCCCGAGCCGGUAUAACAGAAAGUAUGAUGUAUGGCGUAAGAAAAUUGAUUGUUAUAAGGCAUUAUUCUUAUGAGAAAAAUGAGAAAAUAUUGGCAAAAUCAAUAGAUGACGGCAUUAAAAAAGAAAAUUCAUACAUUAGAGAAAUUUGUACUAGAAUUCCAUUUUAUCAUUGUACUCUAUAGGGUGCCGUUCAAAUUGAUAUGAUGUAUAAUGAAUAAAGUAAUUGAUAAUUAUAUGUAA